GACGAACGCUGGCGGCGUGCUUAACACAUGCAAGUCGAACGGUGAAGCUCCAAGCUUGCUUGGGGCGGAUCAGUGGCGAACGGGUGAGUAACACGUGAGUAACCUGCCCCGGACUCUGGAAUAAGCGCUGGAAACGGCGUCUAAUACUGGAUAUGACAUCAAGCCGCAUGGUUAUGGUGUGGAAAGUUUUUCGGUCCGGGAUGGGCUCGCGGCCUAUCAGCUUGUUGGUGAGGUAAUGGCUCACCAAGGCGACGACGGGUAGCCGGCCUGAGAGGGCGACCGGCCACACUGGGACUGAGACACGGCCCAGACUCCUACGGGAGGCAGCAGUGGGGAAUAUUGCACAAUGGGCGAAAGCCUGAUGCAGCGACGCCGCGUGAGGGAUGACGGCCUUCGGGUUGUAAACCUCUUUCAGCAGGGAAGAAGCGAAAGUGACGGUACCUGCAGAAGAAGCACCGGCUAACUACGUGCCAGCAGCCGCGGUAA
rnacentral:rRNA from 1 species